UGUAGACUAUGUUGACCAACAUCAUUCACGUGUAUGAUUUUCAAACAGGAAACUGGGUCUCUGGAUAUCAAGCUGCUUCAGACGAUUUGAGUUAAAAGGUAUAUUUUGCUUAUAAUCUCAAUUGGCUACAUACAUUGUGAAAUAAUUUUAAAUGAAAUCUUUCUAUUAUUCUCUUUGUAGUCAUAUAGCUGAUGAAAAUUGUGCAUUUCUCUGGAAUUUCUACGUGACAUCCCAAGAUAAUACUUGUGAUGAACAUAACAAUUUGGAGUUGCAAAUGCAAGCAGUUAUCGUCACCAUAAUGUCACUGAAGAGGAAGAAAACACCUAACAUAUUUUAUUAUCUUAACACCAUUGAGCUCUUGUUUAAAAAGAAUAAAAAAUAAUCCUUUAUUUGUAUGAUCCAACCAAAAAAAAAAAGAUGUAGCACACAUACACAUUUUAAUGUGAUUUCCAUACUUAAAUCUUUAACAUGACAUAAAAAUCUUUAGUUUUGGGAUCCAAUGAACUCUAAAAUCAAGCUCCUGGUGUUUUUAAUUA